rnacentral:rRNA from 1 species
UGGGGAAUAUUGGACAAUGGGCGAAAGCCUGAUCCAGCCAUGCCGCGUGUGUGAAGAAGGUCUUCGGGUUGUAAAGUACUUUCAGCGAGGAGGAAGGCGUUGUGGUUAAUAACCGCAACGAUUGACGUUACUCGCAGAAGAAGCACCGGCUAACUCCGUGCCAGCAGCCGCGGUAAUACGGAGGGUGCAAGCGUUAAUCGGAAUUACUGGGCGUAAAGCGCACGCAGGCGGUCUGUCAAGUCGGAUGUGAAAUCCCCGGGCUCGACCUGGGAACUGCAUCCGAAACUGGCAGGCUAGAGUCUUGUAGAGGGGGGUAGAAUUCCAGGUGUAGCGGUGAAAUGCGUAGAGAUCUGGAGGAAUACCGGUGGCGAAGGCGGCCCCCUGGACAAAGACUGACGCUCAGGUGCGAAAGCGUGGGGGGCAAACA